ACACAUAAAAACAAACAUUUUCUCCCAAAUCCUAUAAAUUACCCAUCUAUGUCCCCCACACUUUGCGAAUUUCACCUUAACGUAUCUUUUCCACCAGAUUAUAGACUUAGAUGUGGACGUCGCCAUAAAACUUGAUGAAGUACACAGAAGGCUUGGCUAGAACUUGGUAAAUGACUUUGCCGAUCUUUUUGGACCCGUCGCUUCUGAUGAACUGCACACAUUGACCUGUUGUGAUUUUCCUUCUGUUAUGGAUGGUAGUCGGGAAUCAUGUUGGAGACUGAAGUUUGUCAAAGGGAUAGUGACCCACACACAGGUUGUGAAUCGCAGCUAUAACCGGUUGGCGGCAAGAUAUAUUAGAAGGACAACCUGGGGAAGACAACCACCAGCCCUGGGUCCUGAGGCCAUCGUUUUAUGGACCUAGCUCACCUCUUCACCUCCUUCAAUAUGGAGUCAUGGGAGGAGCGUUUGUCACUUUGAAUAAAACAAACCUUAACAGAGA